UACGGAGGGGGCUAGCGUUGUUCGGAAUUACUGGGCGUAAAGUGUGCGCAGGCGGCCGCGCAAGUCGAGUGUGAAAUCCCCGAGCUUAACUUGGGAAUUGCGCUCGAAACUACGUGGCUGGAGUGUGGCAGAGGAAGGUGGAAUUCCACGUGUAGCGGUGAAAUGCGUAGAGAUGUGGAGGAACACCGAUGGCGAAGGCAGCCUUCUGGGCCAACACUGACGCUCAUGCACGAAAGCGUGGGGAGCAAACAGG
rnacentral:rRNA from 1 species